AUAUAUUCUUAUAUUCCCCUUAAAGUCAAAGGGAACAUCAUCUAAUUUGAGCCAUUGGAUCUGGCUGAAACUUAAUCCUGACCGUCAUAAUUCAAUAAAAGUUUCUAGAAGGAGAAGUUAUAUGGUAGUUUUCUUUCACCAAAACUGUCUGGUCAAAGCUAGAUUUUAGUACAUCUUCCCUCCCACGUUUUCCAACUUCAAUCCCUUUAAAACUUUUUCUCGAAUUUGUUUUUCCAUUUGCAUUUGCAUCGCGUCUACAAUUGGAUGUGUUUGUUCAGACCAUUGUCGAUAACGAAGAUAAAGUUUGUAAGAAGCCAUAAAUGUUCUUCUUUUAACCUUUUUUUUUUCUCGGAUUCAAAGAAAAAUUGGUUUAAAUCAAUAGGUUUGUUUGUGUGAUUUUGAUGCAAUUAACCUAAAAGAAGUUUUGGUUGUGAAUCAAAUCAAGCAACGAAGGACAACCAAGUAUGUUGGUGGGAUAGAUUAUCAUUAAGAAAGGGAAACCAAUUGUCACCAUCGCCGGCUUCUACCAAAACAGUUCCAGAUGAACAAGGUCACGAUUUCCAUCGCAUCAACCAGUACGGAUCGACUGUAAGUUAAUCGAGAUUCAAAGUACCAACCCCAACUCUCAAUUCUUAUUAAAUCUCUAGAAGUAGAAUCGGUUUUGCAGGUCUGUUUUAACGAUUUGAAGGUUCCUGUUGAUGGUGGUUUCUUAUAAUUAGCAUCAACAUCUUGAUGUCAGAUUUGUAUUGGUGAUAUGCUGAUAAUUAGCUUCAUAAUUUCAUUGGGAUUUUUGCCUAUUACCUUUUUAUCUUAUGUUGUAGAUAUUGUUUUUUACAUAAAGAUAUAACCAUCUAGAGUCUACAUAUAUCAAAAUUGCUGGUAACUCAAUGUUUACACCUUAUAUUUAGCUUUGCAUGAAAUAUUGAAUAGUGAUGGAAUCAAAUUUGUGGGGUAUGAUUGCAUGCUUUUUGGUUGUUAGAUACUUAUAUUUUGUUUUAGUGUGUACGUAAACAGAACUAGUACGGCUGCCAAUGAACUAGUGGAUCACAGGGUAUUAUUAUCAAAAAUAAAGAUCAAUUUAUGAACUACAUGAUGUACUUCUGUUAGGUCAAGAAUUUUGAUCCUUGCUCUGAUGAUUGUGCAUCCACCUAUCUGAGUAGAGCAAAAUUGCAAGCAGCUAUUUAUGCCCAAAAAACCUCAUCGUUACAUUGUUGGUACUCAUUUUCUUUAAAUUUGCAUGGUAAUACUAUAAACACAAAUGUUCACAUGUUUGUUAGAAGUCAACCUAGCAACUAUACCCCCAAAAGACCAAGCAAUUCCUAAUGGUAAGUAAUUAUUCGCAAAUAAAAUAUGUAUUUUUUUUUGUUUUCUUUCUAUUUUUAACCUUAAAGUUUUCAUUUUUUACCUAAUAUCUUAUCUAAAUUGUCAUGGAAUCUUCAAGAUUUAUCUCUAAAUGAAAUUGCGUGUUAGAAAAAUCUUAUCUUUUUGCUGAACAUGCUUAUAAUAUGGUGUUAAACAGAAAACACACUUUGGGUGAUGAAGGUUGUAAGUUUCGUAGCUUUGAUACCUCUGGAGGUGUUUGGCCACGCUAACUGUUGCAACCACUUUUACAUGGGUAAAUGGACAGUUGGGUAACGGGUCAAACAGGUUGGUGGUCAUCACACUCAGGUAGACACUGCAGCCAAAGUCAAGGGGCCUAAAGAUGAAGUUCAAAUAUAUACUUGAAUGGACGCCAAAAAACGUGAGCUAAUGAUUCGGGAUAAAGAUUUGGCUCUUAUUGAAGAACAUACGAAGGCUUUUAAAGCCGAAGGAGGGGAUGUAAGCAUUUGGUGACCAAAAUGAAGAAGAAGAUUAAGCGGCCAAGUGAUAGUUAAUAGUACCAAGCCAAACCAGAGUGAUUUAGGAGGUCUAACAAAGAAAACUCACUUUGGGCGUCUAUGGACGGGUUCCUUUCUAGCUAGCGUUUUAAGUUUUACCCGUUAGAGAUAGAAUAUAACCUGAAACAACCCAUUCGUAUAUAAAUGGUUAAAGUUUCCACCUUUUAACACCGAAUUAUUUAUAAUAUUUCUAACGUUUCUGUGGUGUUUUAAUGCAGACCAUGAAUUUCAGGAACUUGCAGCUUCUUUCUGGUCUGCUUCAGGUAAACGAGUAACCGAAUACUUGAGCAUCGCAACACGUGUUAGAAGUUCUCUUAGGAUUGCAGAAAGGCCAAGGUUUGUAUCUGCAUUUCGCUGAUCCAAUUGUGGGAAUAUGAGCCCCAAUGUGCUUGGGGCAUUCUGCACCGAUACUGGACUACCCUGUGACUUUAAUCAUAGUACUUGUGAUGGGAAGAAUGAGUUGUGUUAUGUUCGAGGACCAAGGUUCAUAUUCUUGAUUUCUAUACAUUCUAUAUAGGUGGUAAGAUCAUUGGGUUAGGUCUAAACGGUUCAACUUUUGACGGUUGUCUCUGAUCGUCUUUACAAGUGCUUUUGUCGGUUGUCUCUGAUUGUCUUUACAAGUGCUUUGCUAUGUGUUUAGGCAUAUUAUACAUCAAUAUAUGAUAGCGAAACAUCCCACAUA